rnacentral:rRNA from 1 species
AUGCUCCGCCUCCACAAGUGCAUCCUCACCCAGCUGCUCCCUCGUACCUCUGCCUCCACCUCCCCACUCCACCGUCUCAUCUCCGCCGCCGCGCCCGCCGCAUCCCCAGGCCCCAGCUUCGCCGUGGAGGACUACCUCGUCGCCACCUGCGGCCUCACCCGAGCGCAGGCGCUCAAGGCCUCCACGAAGCUCUCCCACCUCAAGUCGCCAGCCAAUCCCGACGCCGUCCGCUCCUUCCUCGCCGGUCUCGGCCUCUCCACCGCCCACGUCGCAGCGCUCGUCGCCAAGGACCCCAAGUUCCUCUGCGCAAGCGUGGAGAGGACCCUGGCUCCCGUCGCCGUCGGGCUCGCCGGCCUCGGCCUCUCGCGUCCCGGAGUCGCGCGGCUCGUCUCGCUCGCCGGCGAGUUCUUCCGCGGCAGAUCCGUCGCCUCGAGGCUGGCCUACUUCCUCUUCCUCUUCGGCUCCUACGAGGACCUCCUCCGGGUGCUCAAGCACAGCCCCAAUCUCCUCGGAUGCGACCUCGACCGGGUCAUCAAGCCCAACGUCGCCUUCCUGCGGGAGUGCGGGCUAGGUGCUUGCGAUAUUGUCAGGCUGUGCAACCGUGUGCCAUGGCUGCUCGGCAAUAACCCGGAGCGCGUCCGGGCGAUAGUGGCGUGCGCCGAAGGGCUCGGUGUGCCCCGUGGAUCGGGGAUGUUCGGGCAAGCGCUGCAAGCUGUCGCAUUCCUCACCCAGGAGAAAAUCACCGCCAAGGUCGAGCACUUGAAGAAGAUGUUCCGGUGGUCGGAUGCCGAGGUGGGCAUUGCUGUUUCUAAGGCUCCGGCGGUGCUGCUGAAGGCCAAAGAAUCGCUGCAGCGCAGGUCCGAGUUCCUCAUCUCCGAGGUGGGGUUGGAACCUGCAUACAUUGCUUUUCGUCCAGCAAUGCUCAUGUACAGCUUGGAGGGCAGGAUCAGACCCCGGUACUACGUUGUAAAGUUUCUCAAGGAAAAUGGAUUGCUAAAUCAUGACCGGGACUACUAUAAUACAAUCGUGAUCAGCGAGAAGGUAUUUAUGGACAAGUUCAUAUGCCCUCACAAGAAAUCUGCACCGCACCUUGCUGAAGACUAUGCAGCAGCUUGCAGAGGGGAAGUGUCCGUGAGAUUCAUAUCUGCAUGA